CCAUUGUUUACAGCAUGGAGCUAAGGGAAAAGAAUUCUAUGAAAUUCUUCUUAUCUUUCAUCUUCCUACAUGAUAGAAGACUCUGAAUUACAUACCAUAUUUCUACAAUGCUGCAACGAAUCUCAGGCCCUUAUGUUCCAAGGCUGGCCUCAGAUGGUCAUGUUAGCCAUAGCUUAGGUGGGGAACAGACCCACAGCUCCAAUGGACCCUGAUUUAACCCCUAAGAUUCAUCCUCACCUGAACAUGUGACCCCAAAAUAAAGAAAUUAGUCUUACCUUGGCUACCUCUAUGCACAGCUGAGAUUUAUCCUGUUUACUCAUGGGGCCCUGCAUACUUCCUGAGACGUCCAUGAGGAAGACAAAUUCUCCACAGAGCUCUAAAUGGUUUUAGUGAGCCAAGCUGCCUCUUGUCAUUGGUUUCUUUGUAUGGAUCAAGUCAUCUUGACCAAACAUGUGAUCUGGAAAACAACAUUUGAGCAUCCCUUCUGGAAGGAAUUCACAAGAUUAAUAAAGACUGCCCCUGAUGUCCCCCUGUGGCCUGCAGAGUUGGUCACAGGAAACAGAUGAGGAAAUAUGCAUAGGAGCCAAUGGAACUUCUUGGAAAGAAAGGGACUGAGAUCUCAAUCCUUACCCUUUAAGAUCCAAAAUUAUAAAACUUUCUCUGGUGGAUUAAAAUGAUCCUGAAUGAAGACCAAGUCACUGUUGUGGGAGUAUUUCAUGGAGGAACUCACCAGAAGGAAAGGACAAAACCAGUAUUCAAUGGGACUCAAGGGGAAGUUGGAUUGGAUUCUCUCAAUGCCAUGCUGGGAACUGAUGGUGGCAACCACACUGAGUGUGUAAGGCAGGUCCUCGAAAGGGACUACAGGAGUCUUCCUAUUAAGGUAACUGUUCUCGGACCAUCCUACAAAAAGUUCCCUUAGUUCUGUUUCCCCUUCCAAUACUUCUUAGAACUCUACAAACUUGAGGAGAUUUUCGCAAUUAUGUUACCGACCACUAGUAUUCAAAGGGAGAGGAUACUCACCAGAGAGACAGUAUCGAGGAUUCAGGAUAGCUGGGAGCAAUUAGCACAGGGUCCCAUGUGCUUCCAGGGGCAGUUCCUGCACAUACUUCAGGGUGAGUGCCACCUUGGAUCCAGGGUGGAGGUUCCCCACAUUGCAACUGAAGACAUCCCUGGCACACUUGUCCACCUCCAAUAGGAAAGCCUAGUGGCCCUGGCUGAUGGCAUUCUCAUAGUUGGUGUGGGCCUAAGGAGAACAGGGAAAGAAAGGUGGUCUCAAAGAUGACACGGUUGAUGAAGAAACAAAUGGUACCGAAAACAAAGACUGGUGGAGAGAGACUGUGAUUGGUCUCACCAAAUUCACAGCUCUACUUUGAGUGCCUCUGAUUGAUUUUUCCCUUCAAAGGAUUUUGGGAAAAUAGUGGUUUGAGAGCAGUGGAGAAAGAACAUUCAACAUCAGCAGUUUUGUGAAGCUGCAUUUCAGAGGUCCUAAAGAGUAUGCAUGAAGGAAAUAAGAAGGAAGGAGACAAUGUACUCAUCCCUAGAAACUUCAUCAUGUCUUGUAAUUCUGCCAUAAUUUUCUUCCCAUCUACCAUGGUCUCAAAGCUGUAGACAGCUGAGUCUUCAUCCAUGGGGAAGACAAAGAAGGCCUCCAAAGGCACUUUCUCCUCAUUCUCAUAGUUUAAGGUAGCAGACACACCAGCCACAAACUCACAAAUGGGCAAGGCCACAGAGAUGCUCUUCAGUGGCACUGGAGAUAGAGCAGAGUUCAACAAACAUCAAUAGAAUGCCUCCUGCAGGUCAGGUAUUGUGCUAGGUGCCAACGAUAUGAUGGUAAGUAAGAGUUACCAAU
rnacentral:lncRNA from 1 species